GGGCGCGCCUCUUGUAUAUAUUUGUACAAGAUCUUCAAAUUCUUUGCACAUGAUAUUUUUGUAUGAGAUAUUCAUAUUUUUGUCUUCAAUCCUUGCACCAAAUAUUUUUGUAUAAGAUCUUUUAUAUUUUUGGCACGAAUCAGCUCCAAUUCUCCUUUCUUUUGCUCCAAGACUGAAUCUUUAGAAUAUUUGUUCCUGAAAUAUAAUAAUAUGCAAUUGUAGUAAAAGAGUUCUAAAAAAGGAAAUAAACUUAAAUAAAAUAAACUCAAAUAUAAAUAAAACG
rnacentral:lncRNA from 1 species